GACGAACGCUGGCGGCGUGCUUAACACAUGCAAGUCGAACGGAAAGGCCCUGCUUUUGUGGGGUUCUCGAGUGGCGAACGGGUGAGUAACACGUGAGUAACCUGCCCUUGACUUUGGGAUAACUUCAGGAAACUGGGGCUAAUACCGGAUAGGAGCUCCUGCUGCAUGGUGGGGGUUGGAAAGUUUCGGCGGUUGGGGAUGGACUCGCGGCUUAUCAGCUUGUUUGUGGGGUAGUGGCUUACCAAGGCUUUGACGGGUAGCCGGCCUGAGAGGGUGACCGGCCACAUUGGGACUGAGAUACGGCCCAGACUCCUACGGGAGGCAGCAGUGGGGAAUAUUGCACAAUGGGCGGAAGCCUGAUGCAGCAACGCCGCGUGCGGGAUGACGGCCUUCGGGUUGUAAACCGCUUUCGCCUGUGACGAAGCGUGAGUGACGGUAAUGGGUAAAGAAGCACCGGCUAACUACGUG
rnacentral:rRNA from 1 species